GUUCUCCCCAUGUAGUUUUAAAGACAAGGCAUUGCUUUAAAGCUGAGAUACCCAUGGCUUGUUCUGUAAUAUACAAAUUAAAAUAGAAAUGAAUACAUAGAAAAAGCAAAGUUGGUUCUUUGGCCAGAAGCUUGCUUCCACAGUCAUAAAGAUACAGACAGGUAGAUCUAUCACUUUAAUUUAAAAAUGAAAAUCCCUUUAGAAAACUGCCAGACAUUCAGCCCUGGCCAAAUGGAUUUGAAAGGAUUGUUAUUUCUCCUGCUGUCAACUGGCUCUGGGAGAGUUACUGCUGGCAGGCUCAUUCAUAGAAGGAUUUGCAGUGGGGCCACCAAUGUACCAUCAUUCUUGACUUUGAAGGAAGAAGUUCCAGGGGCUUAAUCUUGAAACAGGGAGACCAAGUCUGGAGACCCAGCUGCAAAGUUCCAGAGAUUACUUCCAGGUGGCUCAUUAACAACCUGGCCAUUGUUGUGAUGACGUCAGCCUGAGGUCUCAGGUCCCAGGUCCCAGGUGGACUGAGACCCAAGACAGCCACCAGAACAAGACACACAGACAUUGUACUCAGCCCAAUGCUUGAAUGCCUUCCUUAUCAAGUUUUCCCAUUUUAAACCCUUGCCUUCCCCCCAAAAUCAAAGCAGUUACUUUGGAUAGGAAUCCAGCUGCUUCUUCUUUACUAGUUUUGGUUAAUAAAUUCACUUUCUUCCUACCGGA
rnacentral:lncRNA from 10 species